CCCUGUUCUACUUCAGUAGCCAGCUAGCUCUGCAGACCCUGUUCUACUGCUACUUCAGAAGUGAAAUACAAUGUAUCAAGUGUAUGAGUCUGUCCUCAUUGCACGUCUGUUAUUUGAUGUCGCACCUCAAAUGAUGAGCUGGUGGACUGAGACCAGAUGGGGGGUGUAAUAGGUGGUGACAUGACAGUGUGUUAUCAGAGGACUGAGACCAGAUGGGGGGUGUAAUAGGUGGUGACAUGACAGUGUGUUAUCAGAGGACUGAGACCAGAUGGGGGGUGUAAUAGGUGGUGACAUGACAGUGUGUUAUCAGAGGACUGAGACCAGAUGGGAGGUGAAAUAGGUGGUGACAUGACAGUGUGUUAUCAGAGGACUGAGACCAGAUGGGGGGGUGUAAUAGGUGGUGACAUGACAGUGUGUUAUCAGAGGACUGAGACCAGAUGGGGGGGUGUAAUAGGUGGUGACAUGAGGGUGGGUAUAAUUUGUGUGUUAUAAGUUUUUCAUUCAGAAUGAGAUACCGGGUAGAGAGUGAACAAUGUAAUAACGUUUUUCAACCACCACGUUUAUUCUGAAAAAUGUCUCUCUUCGUUCUGGUAGCCUCCACCAUUCCUCGUUCGUUGGUUUAGUUAUUAUUUCCGGGGUUCCUGCAUUCGCCAGGUGAACUCUGUUGCGCCUCAAUUAGGGAAUCGCU
rnacentral:lncRNA from 1 species